rnacentral:rRNA from 1 species
UAGAGGGUAGCAAUAUUCUUUAGUUGGAGCGGCGCAAGGGUGCGUAACACGUGGGUAAUCUGCCAUGAAGACCGGGAUAACUUGUUGAAAGGCGAGCUAAUACCGGAUGUGACAAUUAAUUGGCAUCAAUUGAUUGUCAAAGUUGGGGACCGUAAGGCCUGACGCUACAUGAUGAGCCCGCGGCCUAUCAGCUAGUUGGUGAGGUAACGGCUCACCAAGGCUAAGACGGGUAGCUGGUCUGAGAGGACGACCAGCCACACUGGAACUGAGAGACGGUCCAGACACCUACGGGUGGCAGCAGUCGAGAAUUUUUCACAAUGGGCGCAAGCCUGAUGGAGCGACGCCGCGUGGGGGAUGAAGGGCUUCGGCUCGUAAACCCCUGUCAUUUGCGAACAAACCUCUAGGGUGAAUAGCUUUAGAGUUGAUUGUAGUGAAAGAGGAAGGGACGGCUAACUCUGUGCCAGCAGCCGCGGUAAUACAGAGGUCCCGAGCGUUGUUCGGAUUCACUGGGCGUAAAGGGUGCGUAGGUGGUGGGGUAAGUCUGGUGUGAAAGCUCGCAGCUCAACUGCGAAACGGCACUGGAAACUACCCUGCUGGAGGGUUGGAGGGGGGACUGGAAUUCUCGGUGUAGCA